UCGGGCUCCGAGGGUCCCGGCUGUGCUGCGGGGAGCGGGUUUGGGAUGGGAGCCGGAGCUCGAGUUAACGCCUCCCACUGUUUGCCUGAAUUCCCUGGAUGCCCUGCUGCCAUGGAGGAGUGGAGGUGGGAGCUGGGGGAGCUGAAGUGUGUUUGUGCUCGUUCUCCGUUCUCAGACCGCAUUCAAGGCCCGUGCGGAUGCGGCCGGGCGGCGCCGCCUCCGGCAGCGGAAACUCCCCCUGAGCAGGGCAGGGCGUGAAAUCCCGACUUCUCCUCCAGCCCUUCUCCCUCGCCUUCUCCUCGCCCCUCUGGGCUCUGCAGGCCCUCCUCGCUCCCUGCUGGGGCGUCCAUAGCAGGGGAUGUGCAGCGUGGGGUGGGAGAGGGAGGGCAGGAGCGCUGCGGCCGGGCAGGGCUCGGGGAUGAUGGAGGGAACUGAAGGGAUGAUGGAGGGAACUGAAGGGAUGAUGGAGGGAUACUGAAGGGAUGUUUGGGGGAUACUGAAGGGAUGAUGGAGGGAUACUGAAGGGAUGAUGGAGGGAUACUGAAGGGAUGUUGGGGGGAUACUGAAGGGAUGAUGGAGGGAUACUGAAGGGAUGAUGGAGGGAACUGAAGGGAUGUUUGAGGGAUACUGAAGGGAUGAUGGAGGGAACUGAAGGGAUGAUGGAGGGAUACUGAAGGGAUGUUUGAGGGAUGCUUGGGCUCCCUCAAGGAAAGCCAGGCAUCCUCCAGAUGUGAUGGCCUCAGGAUGGCUCCUUUGGCUGCAUGCUUUGCAGGGAGGAGGUUUAAUUUGAGAGUCGUGGGAUGGAGCUGCUGCCUGUGCUGGGGCUGGUGAGGGGUUUUGGGGCCAGGGAAGGCAUUGCCAGCCCCUGCCAACCUCUUCCAGCCUCAUGUGUUAAAUAAGUGACAGUCCUUAACUCCCUUUGGAUGUCGGCAUCACGGACACACUUGGAGUUCUGGUAAACUCCGGGGACGUGGAUCCCUCUGGAGUGGAGACUGCUGCAAUCCCCGCCCCGGCCUCCAGAGCAGGCAGGGAGGUGUUUGCCAGCAGCCACUGCGGAUUUACAGCUCACUGGAAAAUCCACUCAUCCCAUUAAGGGCCCCCUGUGGCUUUUGCUUUCCAUAGCAAAUCCGUGUUUUUCCCAAGGGAAACCCCCUUUGGGUUCCAGUGGGUGUGUGGAGCUCUCGGGGCAAACCCUGCAGAAGAGUCCAGGCUGCAAGAGUGGCUGCAUUUAUUACAGGAUGGAUUAGGGGAGACCCGUCUGGCUUGGCCAGCCCUGCUGUGCAGCUGCCUCUCCCCACCACCCCAGCAGCCAAGCCAAAAUCCAUCAGGGACUUCCAGGUUUCAUGGGUCGAGGAGCGGGGAGGCUGUUUCCGCACAGCCGCGGCGAACACAGACACCACGACAUCUGGUCCUGCUCAAAAUUCUCAGGAGCAAAGGGCCAGGUGCGUGAUGCUGCAGGAACACAGGGCUAAAUAAAUGAUGCAACUGGUUCCGUGGA